rnacentral:tRNA from 1 species
CGGGACGUAGCGUAGUCCGGUAGCGCACUUGACUGGGGGUCAAGGGGUCGUCAGUUCAAAUCUGGCCGUUCCGACUA